GGGUGUUGAUCCAAGCAUGAAUAUUGAACAAGGAGAGUUCCCUGCUCUUGUUCAAAACAUUGCCAAAUAAGAUGGCAAAUGAAACCUCAGUUUGCAUUUCAUCCAAUAAAAGACAGAGCGACUUGUGAAAGGACUCUGGAACAGAACCCGUUGCAGCCCAGGGACUGCCUAUCCCAAUGAUUGCUGAUGAAAACAAACCUCAAAAGCCUCACGGCAACACUCAACACAGAAGAAUACGUCAGAAAAUGAGUUGGCAUAAGAAAGCACUGCCUCUGAAGCAUCUGUUGGCUGACUGUUGGCUAGAAUGAAGGUGUGGGAGCAAGUCAUGUGAUGAAAUUUCCACAAGC